rnacentral:lncRNA from 1 species
GGGAAAAGUCAAAGAACGGUGGGAUUAAUAGGAAAUAACACAUCAGGCACCCUGGGAGGGAGACACAUGAGUAGGGAUGGAGGGAGAGAGCGUGGAUCAGGAAGAGAGCACCCACAGUGGGACGACUUCUACCCAGGCUGAUACACUGAGCUGUAGUGAGGAGAGCGACGAGCCCCAACACCUCCUGGAACCGGACGAGGAAGAUGAUCAGGCCGACAGUGGAUCCUGCGAUGGAGAGGUAGAGCCCAGUCAGGUCGGGGAGGAUCUAUGUAUCUGUGACGCAGAGACCUUACCACAGGAGACUCUCAUAGCCACAAACACACAGCACGAUGCUGACUGCCUCCCAUUGUCCCCCCUGCCAACAGAGGAAGAGCUGACCCCCCUUUCAGUGUCAUCUCAUCCCUGCGACACACAGAGUA